CGCGGCCAUAAAAUCCGCUUUGAUGACCUCUGCUUAUACAGUCGACAACCGUGGCGAAACCAUGCUCGAUGAAUCCAAUGGGAAUACUUCCACCGUGUUAGAUUUUGGAUCCGGUCACGUUCACCCCUCUAAAGCUAUGGAUCCAGGACUGGUUUACGAUAUCACCACAAUGGAUUACAUAGAUUUCUUAUGCAAUUCCAAUUACACGAUCAACAACAUCCGAGUACUCACCAGGAAGAAUGCCGAUUGCAGCGGCGCAAAACGAGCCGGCCAUGUUGGGAACCUGAAUUACCCAUCACUCUCCGCCGUUUUCCAACAGUAUGGCAGGCGUAACAUGUCUACACAUUUCAUC
rnacentral:lncRNA from 1 species